rnacentral:rRNA from 1 species
GAUGAACGCUGGCGGCGUGCCUAAUACAUGCAAGUCGAGCGAACAGACGCGGAGCUUGCUCCUCUGACGAUAGCGGCGGACGGGUGAGUAACACGUGGAUAACCUACCUAUAAGACGGGGAUAACUUCGGGAAACCGGAGCUAAUACCGGAUAAUAUAUUGAACCGCAGGGUUGAAUAGUGAAAGACGGUUUUGCGGUCACUUAUAGAUGGAUCCGCGCCGCAUUAGAUAGUUGGUAAGGUAACGGCUUACCAAGGCAACGAUGCGUAGCCGACCUGAGAGGGGGAUCGGCCACAUUGGAGCGUAGCCACGGUCAAGACUCCUACGGGAGGCAGCAGUAGGGAACCUGCCGCAAUGGUCGAAAGCCUGACGGAGCAACGCCGCGUGAGUGAUGAAGGUCUUCGGAUCGUAAAGCUCUGUUAUUAGGGAAGAACAGAUGUGUCAGUAACUAUGCACGUCUUGACGGUACCUAAUCAGAAAGCCACGGCUAACUACGUG